rnacentral:rRNA from 1 species
GAUGAACGCUGGCGGCGUGCCUAAUACAUGCAAGUCGAGCGAACAGACGAGGAGCUUGCUCCUCUGACGUUAGCGGCGGUCGGGUGAGUAACACGUGGAUAACCUACCUAUAAGACUGGGAUAACUUCGGGAAACCGGAGCUAAUACCGGAUAACAUGUUGAACCGCAUGGUUCAACAGUGAAAGACGGUUUUGCUGUCACUUAUAGAUGGAUCCGCGUCGCAUUAGCUAGUUGGUAAGGUAACGGCUUACCAAGGCAACGAUGCGUAGCCGACCUGAGAGGGUGAUCGGCCACACUGGAACUGAGACACGGUCCAGACUCCUACGGGAGGCAGCAGUAGGGAAUCUUCCGCAAUGGGCGAAAGCCUGACGGAGCAACGCCGCGUGAGUGAAGAAGGUCUUCGGAUCGUAAAACUCUGUUAUUAGGGAAGAACAAAUGUGUAAGUAACUAUGCACGUCUUGACGGUACCUAAUCAGAAAGCCACGGCUAACUACGUG